GGCGAACGCUGGCGGCGUGCUUAACACAUGCAAGUCGAACGGAAAGGCCCUGCUUUUGUGGGGUGCUCGAGUGGCGAACGGGUGAGUAACACGUGAGUAACCUGCCCUUGACUUUGGGAUAACUUCAGGAAACUGGGGCUAAUACCGGAUAGGAGCUCCUGCUGCAUGGUGGGGGUUGGAAAGUUUCGGCGGUUGGGGAUGGACUCGCGGCUUAUCAGCUUGUUGGUGGGGUAGUGGCUCACCAAGGCUUUGACGGGUAGCCGGCCUGAGAGGGUGACCGGCCACAUUGGGACUGAGAUGCGGCCCAGACUCCUACGGGAGGCAGCAGUGGGGAAUAUUGCACAAUGGGCGGAAGCCUGAUGCAGCAACGCCGCGUGCGGGAUGACGGCCUUCGGGUUGUAAACCGCUUUCGCCUGUGACGAAGCGUGAGUGACGGUAAUGGGUAAAGAAGCACCGGCUAACUACGUG
rnacentral:rRNA from 1 species